CCAACAACACAGAUUUGUCUUGAAUAUUCCAGGAAGAGAAGCUUCAACCUGUUUGGAAUUUAUCUAAGCUUUUUAUUUUUCUGGGAAGGCCGUGUGAAUGCUCAGGCAGCGCUGCAUAAAUCUACCAUUUUUGGAUAUUUCCCUCAAUAUGAAGAGGACAUACUCAUCUCCGGCACGUCUAUCGUUUGUCUCAUUAACUCCUGACAAGCCUGCGCCUGCUCUGUCUGCUACAGGAAGUGGACUGAUUAAGAACUCAUGACGCAACAGACGUUACGGUCCCCUUUCAAGAAUCAAAAAAAGACAGAAGCACGCAAGGUUUCCGACGCUCAGAUGAUGAUUUAGACUCGUCCAACAUCGCCCGUUUGCCUCGCUCUUCUACUGUCUCCUCCACCUUACUGCCCGUCUGUUGGCUGGGGAGCGCCCUAUAUCACCGAGUGAUGUCAGAGCAGCCCUCUCACAUGUGGUCUGAACUCCGGAGCUGAUGUUGAAGCCAACCUAUAAAGCUGUUCGCAGUAAUUUCAGCAGGUGGAGCAUCCCUGUGCCUCGUUUGGCCGCAGGAUGGAUCCCUUAUGCUGCUUUUUUUCAUGCAACAGACCCAUGGCGUUUUAUUUGAUAAAAUGUGUGGGAGAUAUGUGGAAAAAAAACACGUUAACACAAUUUCUAGUCAGAGGUUUACACACACACAUCAUGGACAUGAAUGUUGUUAACUUUGGACUUUUCAUGAUUUGUCUGAAACAUUUUUUUUCAUAAAUCCUGGAACUUUUAUGGUUUCUAAAAACAAAAGCUGUAUACAUGUUUCUAACUUGGCUUCUUAUACUUAUCAUGACUGACUGAUGGAGGCAGUUAAUCUUUGUCAAUCUAAAAUGUUUUGCUUGACAGGACUCAUAAGACUGACCAAAUCUCAGAAAGAUAAGAAAGGAAACAAGUUCCAGGGUACUUAGUUAGGAUCUAAGAAAAAGACUUGUAGUUAUACAAUUUGGUAAAGGCGUCUGAAGACAUUAAAAAUGCAGAUUUAAAAAUCAUCACAAUUGCACACAAGGUACAAGUUAUUUAGAUGUGUCAUCACAUGCCAAGGUCCGGAAGAAGAUUUCAGCUAUCACCCUCAAAUAAGACAAAGUUGAUUCGAAUAGGCAGGAAGAACCCAGCCCCCAUCAAAUGUUUGGAGAAGUCAAGGUGAGGCUUUCAGAUCUAAAAAAUACUGUAGCAACUGUCAGGCAUGGUGGUGGCACCACCAUGCUGUCGGGGUGUUUCUCUGACAGUGGUACUUGUGCAUAGCACAAUAUCACUCAGAAUCAGAACCAGUUUUAUUCACAAAGUGUAUGCACACAAACAAAGAAUCCGACUUUGGUUUCACUUUGUUCUUAAUCAAGACUUUUUAAAUCUCAAUAUAUAAAAACAAUUGUUGGCAAAUAAAAAAAGUUUUUUUUAGUUUUUUGUAAAUAUGUACAUUGUUUUUACAAAACGGGAAUGAGUAAGGGGGUCAUCCAAAUUAUUUAACUGUGUAACUGUGACCCCUGUAUGGGUUAGAAAAAAUCUAUAAUAAAUUCAAACUUUUCCAUCCAA